rnacentral:rRNA from 1 species
UACAGAGGGUGCAAGCGUUGUUCGGAAUUAUUGGGCGUAAAGCGCGUGUAGGCGGCUUUGCAAGUCGGGUGUGAAAGCCCUCAGCUCAACUGAGGAAGUGCGCCCGAAACUGCAGAGCUUGAGUGACGGAGAGGAUGGCGGAAUACCCGGUGUAGAGGUGAAAUUCGUAGAUAUCGGGUGGAACACCUGUGGCGAAGGCGGCCAUCUGGACGUCAACUGACGCUGAGACGCGAAAGCGUGGGUAGCAAACAGG